CGCCGCCGCCUCCCCUCCCCUUCUCCCUCUCCGCUCGCCUCCGUUGCCCCUCCCCGGCGGUGCUCCUCCUGCUCUCCGCCGCCGUCGCCCGCUCCCAGUCGGAGGGAGAGGAGGUGGUCUUGGCGAGAUCCGCGACAGCCUGGCAGUCCGGCAGCCGCGCGGCCCCUCACCGCGGCCACCGCCGUGCUCUACAUCCGCCUCUACAGCCCCUGCGUUCGUGCGUCCCUCCGCGCGGUGCUCGCGCCCAAGCGUUGCCCACGCAUCGAAGCCGGCUUCAGCGGUGUCGAGGAGGUCGAGGAGCCGCUCAUGUCUUGGAUCUACCUACAGUCCUAGCUGGCCGUCGUCGGGCCAGGCGCCGCCUUCCUGUGGGAGCUAUCCCUCGGCUCCGCACAGAUCCGUGAGUGGCCGUCCCUCCCGUCCCUGCGCCGUUCCCUGUAGCCACCGCCGCCGCCUCCUGGUGGCCGCUGCUCGAGGACCCGCGCAUCCUCGACUCCCAUUUCAUGAUAGAAGACAUCCGCCUGUCGCGCCUCAAGAGGCUUGCCAUGCUCGGUGCUGGGAGGAGCGAGGCGGCGACCCGUGCCUAGCUUGCGGGAGUCGCGGCGGCUGGCGCGGGGGAGCGGUGGCAGGCGUGCAGGAGCUGCGGCGUCCGGCGCGGGAAGCUCCAAGGGGUGCGUCGCAAGGUUGAAGGGAACUGGAAGCCGGCUCCAAGAUCCGUGGCGUGUGGCCAAUAUCCAUGGCGGCGGCGGCGGCAGUGCAGAUCGAGCUGCAGCACAGCGAGCCAGGAACUCCCACCGCGGCUGGUUCCUUGACCCCAUUAUAAAUGGACGGUACCCAUACUCGAUGCAAGAGAUUGUCAAGGAUAGGCUGCCAUUGUUCAGCGAUGAAGAGUCCAGGAUGGUGAAAUGCUCCAUAGACUACGUUGGCAUCAACCACUACACUUCUUACUAUAUGAAGGACCCUGGGACAAGGAACCUGAUGCCAGUCAGCUACCAGGAUGAUGGGCAUGUUGGUUUUGUUUAUGAAAGAAACGGUGUUCCUAUUGCCGCUCAUGCAAACUCCUACUGGUUGUACAUUGUACCGUGGGGAAUCAACAAGGCUUCUCUAAAAAUUUUCCUUUAUUUGGUUUCGGUUACUAUUUCAUUUCAUCAUGUCUCAUUUCAUAUUGUUCCCAAUAAUUCAUUAGAGUCAAUGCAUGUGGUUUUUGAAUUCAGGUUGUAAAGGUUGACUAAAUCUGAGUUUUUACAAGGAAAGUUACAUGACAAUGUUCUUAAAUAUUGUGGCAAAGUAGAGUUGCAAACUGCAACCGAAGUCUGAGGAAAUUAAGUUGGGAUGAUUCAUUUGCUUCCAAAAGUUCUUUCAGAUGGCAACCUAGUGGUUCCUACUUUUGGAUGGACUAUUCAUGCCUGCUUUAACACUCAGUCAGGUUUGUCUUACAGUUUUUUGUUCCUUCAUUUUACGGCUACUUGAAAGCACUUCUUUCUACUUCCAUUCAAUUUCAAUCAUUCCAAAUCCUGCAAAAUCGUGACAAACAACACUGGGCAACUGCAUGGUUGAUUUGGUUUUUAAUUUUGCUUCAAAUUUUAUAUACAUAGUGUCUUUAGUCAGCCUUACUGGACCAACCUUUCUUUAGUAGCAUGUUUUAACAAGCAAAACUGAAGAUACAUGUGGUUGUUGGAUACAAAAAUAUAAGUGUAUUAUUUUAUUAAUAUUAUAAGAAUACUGCUACUCUUUUUAAAAUUAAGAACCCGUGAUCAGGCAUGUUCAUGGAAAAAAAUAUGAACCAUUGAAACAAAUUCAUUAGUUUAAGUAACCUUUAAUUAACCCCUAAACAAAUUUGUUGGUUUAAAUAACAUAUCAAAUGCAUCUCUAACUUGCUCUUUGAUUAUUAGAUGAUUAAUAUUAAAGCAGGGUAAAAUGUCACAACGGAAGGUGAAGGCUCUUUGUGAAGAUUCGCUCUGUUGAUGGACAAUGAAGCUACCUCUUGCUGCUAUUUAAGAACAAAUCUAUGAAACUGUUAUAAUUUAGUACUUCUAUCAUUAAUGUUUGUAACUAGGUAAAUUGCGCUCUAUGCCAUGCCCACAUGAAAAUAUGAAGUAAAAUGGUUGAUGCGUUAAUAGAUACGUAUGUGUAUAGAGCAGAAGAGAAGUACGCUGGAGGGCGUAGAAUGAGCUGAUUGUUGAAUGUAUCGCCAAGUCCUCCUUGACAGGGGCGGGCCCACUAUGUAUCAAGAGUAUUCAGCUGAAUACCCAUUAUUUUUAGAAAAAAAUCUAUAUA